AUUGAACGCUGGCGGCAUGCCUUACACAUGCAAGUCGAACGGCAGCGGACCUUCGGGUGCCGGCGAGUGGCGAACGGGUGAGUAAUAUAUCGGAACGUACCUUUCAGUGGGGGAUAACGUAGCGAAAGUUACGCUAAUACCGCAUAUUCUGUGAGCAGGAAAGCAGGGGAUCGCAAGACCUUGCGCUGAUUGAGCGGCCGAUAUCAGAUUAGCUAGUUGGUGAGGUAAAGGACUCACCAAGGCGACGAUCUGUAGCGGGUCGUGAGAGGAUGAUCCGCCACACUGGAACUGAGACACGGUCCAGACUCCUACGGGAGGCAGCAGUGGGGAAUUUUGGACAAUGGGCGGCAAGCCUGAUCCAGCCAUGCCGCGUGAGUGAAGAAGGCCUCGGUUGUAAG
rnacentral:rRNA from 1 species